GUUUCUUUGCCUCCUGCAGUCUGUGCCUUCCACCAUGAUCAUGAGGCUUCCCCAGCCACACAGAACUAUUAUGAAGCAAUUUCCUACCUGUUUUUUUAUUUGAUCCAUGAACUUUUCAAGAGAUGUGUGCUAUUGCUGUUGUGACCAUUAGCUCCCAUUUCUCAGAUGAGGAAACUGAGGCUCAGUGAGCCUUAAAUGACUUGCCCAAAACUAUAAGAUGGAAAUCUCUGCCCAUAAAAAUCUUCCACAGUAAACAGACACUGAUGCAAACACACUGGGCUUCCUUCUAUUACCUCAUCA
rnacentral:lncRNA from 1 species